rnacentral:snRNA from 1 species
GUCCCUUCUGGGACAUCCGAUAAAAUUGGAAUGAUACAGAGAAGAUUAGCAUGGCCCCUGCGCAAGGANACAUCGGCCAGCCGGGGAGAGUCGGACUGGUUU